rnacentral:rRNA from 1 species
AUUGAACGCUGGCGGCAUGCUUUACACAUGCAAGUCGAACGGUAACAGGCCGCAAGGUGCUGACGAGUGGCGAACGGGUGAGUAAUGCAUCGGAACGUGCCCAGUCGUGGGGGAUAACGCAGCGAAAGCUGUGCUAAUACCGCAUACGAUCUAUGGAUGAAAGCGGGGGACCGUAAGGCCUCGCGCGAUUGGAGCGGCCGAUGUCAGAUUAGGUAGUUGGGGGGGUAAAGGUCUACCAAGCCGACGAUCUGUAGCUGGUCUGAGAGGACGACCAGCCACACUGGGACUGAGACACGGCCCAGACUCCUACGGGAGGCAGCAGUGGGGAAUUUUGGACAAUGGGCGCAAGCCUGAUCCAGCAAUGCCGCGUGCAGGAAGAAGGCCUUCGGGUUGUAAACUGCUUUUGUACGGAACGAAACGGUCUGGGUUAAUACCCUGGGCUAAUGACGGUACCGUAAGAAUAAGCACCGGCUAACUACGUGCCAGCCGCCGCGGUAACAC